UGAGAGCAGAGUGGAGCCAGAGAGGCCAGAUCGAGAGUUUACAACAGCCCCUGGAGGAAAGAGCAGUGAUCUCAGUUAAGGUCGUCGGGAGGGAAUGGAGAAGACAGAACAGACUUUGAAGAUGUUUUGUGGAAAAGAUUUAUUGGAAGGGUGCAGUGAAGGGCUGACGGAACUGCUCCUAACACAGGACACUUCACAAGUCACCGAACCUCCCUUGGCAGUUUAUUUUAACAUCUUUGCUCCAGAAGCUAAGUUCUAAGAUGUAAACGUCUAGAACGAAGCUCUAAGAAGGAGAGUGAGAAAGAAGGGAAAUGUGUUUUCUUAUGUGAAGAAGUUAAUGAAGAAUUCGAAGACCCAGGGAAGGAGGAUGGCAGCCCAGUCGUCUUUCAGAACAGAGAUGAGGUGACAAAGCUGAUUAUUAAUAAUUCUCUGGAAGGUAAUUAGUCUUAAGCCCCAGCAAAAUGCAGGGAAAGUCUGUGUUCCACUCCCAUAACUGCCCUUCUUCACUUUUUUCCUCCCUCUGAAGUCCCUCCUGUCCUUCUCGUAAUUCCUGCUCACCCUGGACAACUUGCUCAAAUAAAAAUCUUGUAGAAACCUGCCCUUAGCUAAACUUUUCGAAAGGAUCUGAUCAUCAAUUCAUGUGAAAGUGUAGAACAGGGUUUCUCAGCCUCUGCUUUCUCGGCAUCUUGGACUGUGUACUGUGGCGAGCUGUCCUGUGCACGGCAGGAUGUGGAACCGAACCUUCGGCCUCUACCUGUUAGAUGCCGACAGCACUCUGCAUCCUGUUGUGUGGCAGCGAACGAUGUCCCCAGCCAUUGCCAAGUGACCUCUGGAGGGUAAAAUUCCUUCUCUCUGCAUCGGAAACCACGAAGUGUAAAUAUUUUACAACAGUUAAGUCCAUGCUACUCUGUGAAUUAGUGUCCUUUUUUAUUAUAUGUAAUUUCUUAAUUACCCACGAUUGAACUUGGAACAGAAAAUUCACUUAUAGGACAUGUCAGGGAGCAUGGUUUUCUACAACCACAUCAAGGAGGUGGAUGACUCCCUUCUGUAAACCCAAGGCCGAACCUGUUGGCGUGAGCAAACUCUCCUCUUCAGAGAAUGGCUUGCGAUGGGUCUGAGGCUUUGUUUGCAUGUGUAUUAAACGUUGAAGCCUAUUUCCCACCCUUCACUCCAAAUGUUGUUAACAGUUGACCAUCAAACAGGGAAAAGCAUUUCCAGUAGUCUGACUUUUCCGUUAAUAAAGCAGAAUAGAUCAACUGCUGGUGUUUUGUUCUUUGGU